rnacentral:rRNA from 1 species
GACGAACGCUGGCGGCGUGCUUAACACAUGCAAGUCGAACGGAAAGGCCCUGCUUUUGUGGGGUGCUCGAGUGGCGAACGGGUGAGUAACACGUGAGUAACCUGCCCUUGACUUUGGGAUAACUUCAGGAAACUGGGGCUAAUACCGGAUAGGAGCUCCUGCUGCAUGGCGGGGGUUGGAAAGUUUCGGCGGUUGGGGAUGGACUCGCGGCUUAUCAGCUUGUUGGUGGGGUAGUGGCUUACCAAGGCUUUGACGGGUAGCCGGCCUGAGAGGGUGACCGGCCACAUUGGGACUGAGAUACGGCCCAGACUCCUACGGGAGGCAGCAGUGGGGAAUAUUGCACAAUGGGCGGAAGCCUGAUGCAGCAACGCCGCGUGCGGGAUGACGGCCUUCGGGUUGUAAACCGCUUUCGCCUGUUACGAAGCGUGAGUGACGGUAAUGGGUAAAGAAGCACCGGCUAACUACGUG